ensembl:ncRNA lncRNA:CR46225 long non-coding RNA:CR46225
AAUGCAAAUGAGUUGGCAUAUGGCUCAACUGUCACGACAACUAUAUACGACAAUGGCGUUUCGGAUGAGGAUUUCUAUAAGCCGAAGAUUUCGCCGCUAUGAGUUCUAAGGAAUCGGCUGGAAUUGGGUCGAAAACAUUCGUUGGAACACCGCCCCACAUUCCACUGAGUCAUCAGGUUAAUUCAAUUUGAGUUGUAAGCAAAUUUUGCACAAAUGAAAUGCACAAACUUUUGCCAUUGACAGACACACACGCCAACCAAGAGCAAUAAAUUUCCAAAGUGUUUAUGUAAACGACCCGAUUGCUGUGCAGAAACAGAAAAUGAAAGCCGUCGUCUGGCUGCACUUUGUCACCAGGCAUGCGGAACAUAAUGCCGAUUUUUUCGCCUGGAAAAUGGCUGGGCGAUAAUAAAUCUUCCGCUUGGAACAAAUCACAGCAAUUCCAUUAUGUACACAUUUAAUGAUGUUGCCAGCCAAAGCCGCCAAAUCCGCAUCCAAAUCCAAAGCAACGAGCCAGAGACAAUUACUUGCAGCCCGCGAGCAUUUUCUACGACUUAU